CUCUGGAUAGCUCAGCUGGAAGAGCGCGAGACUGUAAUGGAAAUCUUUCGCAAUCUUGAGGCCGCGCGUUCGACCCGCGCUCCGGAGA
rfam:Schizopora paradoxa strain KTC8140 unplaced genomic scaffold SCHPAscaffold_00037, whole genome shotgun sequence.